rnacentral:tRNA from 1 species
GGGAAGGUGGCUCAGUGGUAGAGUGCUUGCUUUGCAUGCAUGAGGCCCUGGGUUCGAUUCCUUAGCAUCACA